UUCCAGGAAAAGCCUCUAAGCUUCAGAUUGUAAGGAAUCGUACCCCAAACCGACACAGGUGGUCGGGUAGAGAAUACCAAGGCGCUUGAGAGAACUCGGGUGAAGGAACUAGGCAAAAUGGUACCGUAACUUCGGGAGAAGGUACGCUCUUGAUGGUGAAGUCCCUCGCGGAUGGAGCUGAUGAGAGUCGCAGAUACCAGGUGGCUGCAACUGUUUAUUAAAAACACAGCACUGUGCAAAAUCGUAAGAUGACGUAUACGGUGUGACGCCUGCCCGGUGCCGGAAGGUUAAUUGAUGGGGUUAGCGUAAGCGAAGCUCUUGAUCGAAGCCCCGGUAAACGGCGGCCGUAACUAUAACGGUCCUAAGGUAGCGAAAUUCCUUGUCGGGUAAGUUCCGACCUGCACGAAUGGCGUAAUGAUGGCCACGCUGUCUCCACCCGAGACUCAGUGAAAUUGAAAUCGCUGUGAAGAUGCAGUGUACCCGCGGCUAGACGGAAAGACCCCGUGAACCUUUACUACAGCUUGGCACUGAACAUUGAACCUACAUGUGUAGGAUAGGUGGGAGGCUUUGAAGACGUGACGCUAGUUGCGUUGGAGCCGUCCUUGAAAUACCACCCUUGUAUGUUUGAUGUUCUAACUUAGCCCCGUUAUCCGGGGUGAGGACAGUGCCUGGUGGGUAGUUUGACUGGGGCGGUCUCCUCCCAAAGAGUAACGGAGGAGCACGAAGGUGGGCUAAUCACGGUUGGACAUCGUGAGGUUAGUGCAAUGGCAUAAGCCCGCUUAACUGCGAGAAUGACGGUUCGAGCAGGUGCGAAAGCAGGUCAUAGUGAUCCGGUGGUUCUGUAUGGAAGGGCCAUCGCUCAACGGAUAAAAGGUACUCCGGGGAUAACAGGCUGAUACCGCCCAAGAGUUCAUAUCGACGGCGGUGUUUGGCACCUCGAUGUCGGCUCAUCACAUCCUGGGGCUGAAGUCGGUCCCAAGGGUAUGGCUGUUCGCCAUUUAAAGUGGUACGCGAGCUGGGUUUAGAACGUCGUGAGACAGUUCGGUCCCUAUCUGCCGUGGGCGUUGGAAGAUUGAAGGGGGCUGCUCCUAGUACGAGAGGACCGGAGUGGACGAACCUCUGGUGUUCGGGUUGUGUCGCCAGACGCAUUGCCCGGUAGCUAAGUUCGGAAUCGAUAACCGCUGAAAGCAUCUAAGCGGGAAGCGAGC
rnacentral:rRNA from 1 species